AAAGCAAAUGAAGAAACACCCAUGUCGACAAUGUGACAAAUCUUUCAGUUCAUCCCAUAGUUUGUGUCGUCACAAUCGUAUCAAGCACAAAGGCAUUAGGAAGGUGUAUACAUGCUCGCACUGCCCAGAUUCAAGACGUACUUUUACCAAGCGGUUGAUGUUGGAAAAACAUAUUCAGUUGAUGCAUGGCAUUAAAGACCCUGAUGUGAAAGAGAUGACUGAAUCAACCAAUAUGGAAGAAAGGGAAGUAAAAGAAGACACAAAGGUUCCUAGUCCGAAGCGUAAACUGGAAGAACCCGUGCUGGAGUUCAGGCCUCCUCGAGGUGCAAUCACUCAGCCAUUGAAGAAGCUAAAGAUAAAUGUUUUCAAAGUUCACAAGUGUGCUGUUUGUGGCUUUACAACAGAAAACCUUCUCCAGUUUCAUGAACAUAUUCCUCAGCAUAAAUCGGAUGGCUCUUCGUACCAGUGCAGGGAGUGUGGACUCUGCUACACAUCUCACGUGUCCCUCUCCAGACAUCUCUUCAUUGUGCAUAAGCUGAAGGAACCUCAGCCAGUAUCAAAACAAAAUGGAUCUGGGGAGGAUAAUCAGCAAGAAAAUAAACCCAAUCACGAGGAUGACUCGUCUGACAGUACAGCAUCGGACAGAAGAUGCAAAGUAUGUGCAAAGACUUUUGAAACUGAAGCGGCCUUAAACACUCACAUGAGAACACAUGGCAUGGCCUUCAUUAAGUCAAAAAGAAUGAGUUCAGCUGAGAAGUGAUCAGGUUAUUUGGGACGCAGAAAUCUCUCUCCACAUUGGAAUACUAAUGACAUUUUUGCUACAGAAAGCUCAAGGUAUAAUAGUGUUAACAGUACUGUUCAGGCUGUUGCAAUAUAUUCUGCAUAAAAGUGUCCCCUUCACCUCAUUGUCUAUACCCUCAAAACCAUUGACACAGUAUUUCAGUUGAAAAGAGUUUGUAUAUAUUUAAGCUAAUAACUUUUAUACUCUUUGUUAUGUGUUUGUAUUGGUAUCUAGUGGAAAAUUUGGGUUUUUCUGUUUUGUUUCUGGUUUUAUCUAGUAAGUUUCUUUAAAGCAGAGUUCUGAAUGCUGGGGCAGUUCCUUAGGUUCUCUUAAACUGUUCGUAUUUGAAUGCUUCUGAAAGAAGGUUUAGCUAAUGGAAGUGCGUCAGAAGGCAGUGGUUGGGGGGGAGUGAGGAGGGGAAGAUUUUAAAUUCUAAGAACUUGUGCUUCUAAAUGUCUAAGGAAGCUUUUCAACUUU